rnacentral:rRNA from 1 species
AUACGAAGGGGGCUAGCGUUGCUCGGAAUCACUGGGCGUAAAGGGCGCGUAGGCGGCCAUUCAAGUCGGGGGUGAAAGCCUGUGGCUCAACCACAGAAUUGCCUUCGAUACUGUUUGGCUUGAGUUUGGUAGAGGUUGGUGGAACCGCGAGUGUAGAGGUGAAAUUCGUAGAUAUUCGCAAGAACACCAGUGGCGAAGGCGGCCAACUGGACCAACACUGACGCUGAGGCGCGAAAGCGUGGGGAGCAAACAGGA